GGUCUGCUGGCCUGUAGGUUAGGGAUUUACGUUUUAUUCCUUAUAACGUGUUUUACAAGGGUGAGGUUCUCUCACCGUGGAGUGAAGCAUCUGACGCGAUCAGAUUUCCAGAAGCGGUGAUCACUUCGCCCCCUUGAUGAGAUCAAGGAUAAAACACCUCCCGACGAUAGCGCUGGCGACCUU
rnacentral:other from 1 species